rnacentral:rRNA from 1 species
UACAGAGGCCUCGAGCGUUAGGCGGAAUCACUGGGCUUAAAGCGUGUGUAGGUGGAUGCCUAAGUACCUUGGGAAAUCCCACAGCUUAACUGUGGAAUUGCUUGGUAUACUGGGUGUCUUGAGCCACUCAGGGGCUACCGGAACAAAUGGUGGAGCGGUGAAAUGCGUAGAUAUCAUUUGGAACGCCAAUGGUGAAAACAGGUAGCUGGGGGUGUGCUGACACUGAGACACGAAAGCCAGGGGAGCAAACGGG